rnacentral:rRNA from 1 species
GAUGAACGCUGGCGGUAUGCUUAACACAUGCAAGUCGAACGGACUCUUCGGAGUUAGUGGCGGACGGGUGAGUAACGCGUGAGAAUCUGGCUUUGGGUUCGGGACAACUACUGGAAACGGUUGCUAAUACCGGAUGUGCCGAGAGGUAAAAGAGAAAUUGCCUGAAGAUGAGCUCGCGUCUGAUUAGCUAGUUGGUGAGGUAAAGGCUCACCAAGGCAGCGAUCAGUAGCUGGUCUGAGAGGAUGACCAGCCACACUGGGACUGAGACACGGCCCAGACUCCUACGGGAGGAAGCAGUGGGGAAUUUUCCGGAAUGGGCGAAAGCCUGACGGAGCAAUACCGAGUGAGGGAAGAAGGCUCUUGGGAUGUAAACCUCUUUUCUUAGGGAAGAACAAAAUGACGGUACCUAAGGAAUCAGCAUCGGCUAACUCCGUG